rnacentral:ncRNA from 2 species
UAAGCGAAUUGAAUAUGCGGUGUCGUAUGACGACUUAAUAGGGAAUCCGGUCUAAUCCGGAGCUGUCCCCGCAACUGUCGUGUGGACGAGGCAAGAAGCCACUGGAGAUUUCUCCGGGAAGGCUUGCCGAGGAAGAAGCACAAGCCAGUAGACCUGCCGUGUAUUCAAGAACGUU